UAGCUUUGGCUGUCCCAGAACUGAGAGAUCUGCUUGCCUCUGCCUCUGCCUCCCAAGUGCUGGAAUUAAAGUCAUGGGCCGCCUUGACCAGCUCUGGGUGACAGUUUCACCUAAAAUAUAGAUGGAUGCUUUGAUGAAAUUAUAAGACCAAACAGACAAGAUAUGUUCAUUAUUUUCAAAAUCUAAGUACAGAACGGAGCCGACUUCAUUUCUCAUGUAUGUAGACAGGGUUUGUGGUGAUAGCAAUUUGAAUAUGAAGCAAGAUUGCCAUCCAUGUCCCACCCCAGCACUCCCCCACAGGAACAACCUCAAAUGUGAGAUACACCGACCAAAGUCACCUGGGAAGGGAAAGGAGUUCCUGCCACCUGCCACCAGAAGGCUGUGGGCUGGCCUCUUUCUGGACAAGGCCUUCCUUCUGUGCAGUUUUGGUUUAUUCUGAUAGAACACUGGACAAUAUCUGAUCUGGACUGAGAAGGCAGGGAGUGGGUACACAGUGAGUUCUAGGGCAGUCUGAAUGAGACCCCAACUAGAACAAACAAAUGUCCCGUAUGUUAAUCCCAAAGAUGGGAGGAGAAGGACCGUUGACUCACAUCAUCAUGGGCAAGUUAAUUAAAGCAAGCAGUUAGUGAAAAUAAGCCUUUUCUAUUUGUGUACAUUGGCUGCCUCCACUUACGGCACGGUUGGAGAGAUCAGCAUUGGAUAUGAGGAAGCUAAGACUUUCAUAGCUCAAGGGUAGGAGGUUUCCAAGUGUGGGGAUUGGCAGGCAAAAUAGGCAGAGUUACAGGUGCAGAACAAAGCAUAACAAGUAGUUCUAAAGACCUCCUGAAACAAAGACAUGGUUGCAAGGUGGGCAUAACAAGGUAGUCCUAAUAACUGGUAUCCAUAGCGACCCCUUUGCAACAAUGGUGGGUUGCAAGAUAGUUAUUAACUUUUUGAAACAAAGACAUGAUUACCAUUCCUGGAACAGGCUUACAGAACCAUUUGUAGUUAAGGUUGUAGGUGGGACAUAGCCCAGUCCUUGAGAAACAGGUUUAAUCAUGAACAGGAAUGAGGCUAGUUUGUCUUUACAAUAAGAUGGCUUUAAAGCCCAAGAUGGAGGCAGGCUGGGUCUUCACAUAUCUGCCAUGAAUAAUGGGAGUUGGUGGCAUAACCACUUCCGUGAUUCAGUAGCAAAAAGUCUAGCAUGGAAUUUUUUUAAAAUAGCUUUUAAUUAUUUUCUGUGGGACUCGCUUGGGUGGUAUGUGGGGGUCAGAGGACAGUGUGCAGAAGCCUCUCUUUAUUCCACCAUGGGUCCCCAGGAUUGAACUCUGACUUGGUGGCAAGUACCCUUACCUUCUGAGCUAUCUUGCUGGCCCAGGUCUUUUUCUUUCCCUGUGAUACAUACCCAUGCCUCACCCUUUCUUUCCAUUGUCCUAGUUGAUCCUUUUCUCACUCCUCUCUGUGCUGGUGUGAAUCAUCACUGUUAAACACGGCCUGCUGGGGAGGUCAACAUGGCUGGGCCUGAAGAAGCAGUCCACAGAGGGUGUGACAACCAUCCUCCCUUUGUUGGUGGGAAGUCUGUGCUCCUCUUUGGACAGCUCGGGCUUUGGAUGGAUCCUCAGCCUCAUGCCUGCUACGGUGAUGCUCUCCUGCUGCUGACCUACUCAGCUCUACUCAGUAUUUCCAGUGGGAAGAGAUGCUGGAUCUGGGAGCUCAGAGACGGCUUCACUGUGCAAAAAUGGCAUACAUACCAAUUUGAGUUCCUUCUGCAUUAUAGAGCCAGUAUACAGCGGAUGAAUACCAGGCCAUCCAGAAAGCUCUGAGACAGAGACUGGGUCCAGAGUACAUUAGCAGCCGCAUGGCUGGAGGAGGUCAGAAGAUUUUGUUGACCUCAACAAUGGCAAGUUCUACGUGGGAGUCUGUGCAUUUGUAAAGGUGCAGUUAAAGGAUGGUUCCUAUCAUGAGGACGUGGGCUAUGGAGUUAGUGAGGGCCUCCGUUCAAAGGCCUUGUCACUGGAGAAGGCCAGGAAGGAGGCUGUGACUGAUGGGCUGAAGCGAGCACUCAGGAGUUUUGGGAAUGCACUUGGAAACUGUAUUCUGGACAAAGACUAUCUGAGGUCACUAAAUAAGCUUCCACGACAGCUCCCUCUUGAUGUGGAUUUAACUAAAACAAAGAGAGAAGAUUUUGAACCAUCUGUAGAACAGGCAAGAUACAACAGCUGCCGACAGAAUGAAGCAUUGGGACUCCCCAAACCACAGGAAGUGACUUCCCCUUGCAGAUCAAGCCCCCCACAUGACUCGAACAUUAAGCUUCAGGGGGCUAAGGACAUCAGCAGCUCCUGCAGUCUGGCCGCCACCUUGGAGAGUGACGCCACUCACCAGAGGAAGCUCCGGAAGCUCCGGCAGAAGCAGCUCCAGCAGCAGUUCCGGGAACAGAUGGAGACUCGCCGGCAGAGCCAUGCACCUGCCGAAGAGGUGGCAGCCAAGCAUGCGGCAGUACUUCCAGCCCCUCCAAAACACAGCACCCCUGUAACUGCAGCCUCAGAACUCCUCCAGGAGAAAGUCGUCUUUCCAGAUAACCUUGAAGAGAACCUUGAAAUGUGGGACCUUACUCCAGACUUAGAGGACAUCAUUAAGCCCUUGUGUAGAGCAGAACCAGCCCAAACUUCUGCCACUCGAACCUUCAACAACCAGGACAGCGUCCCACAUAUCCAUUGCCAUCAGAAACCACAAGAAAAGCCUGGACCUGGGCACCUGCAGACCUGCAACACCAACCAGCAUGUUCUAGGUAGCAGAGAAGACUCUGAACCUCAUAGGAAGAGCCAGGACCUGAAGAAAAGGAAACUAGAUCCAUCCUGAGACUCAAGAUGUCACUAGACCGUCACAAAAGGACUUUGGAAAACUGCAGUUUGGUCACAAAAUUGUUCCACCUUGGCUCAUGCUGAACUCUUUAGAGGACUAUAGAGGAAGCUAACUACUUAAAAAGGUUGUCAUACCCCAUGAUGGGAAGGAGGCCAACAGAUAAACUUUGUUCAGUAUUACUCACUCCUAAGCUGAUUCUAGGACCUUGCAGGCUGCCUUUCAUUUAACGAUGUUGCCCACCAAGCCCCAGCAUGACUGUUACCUACAUUAAAUUAUGUGUGACCUCA